CCUACGGGAGGCAGCAGUGAGGAAUAUUGGACAAUGGUCGGAAGACUGAUCCAGCCAUGCCGCGUGAAGGUUACGGUCCUAUGGAUUUUAAACUUCUUUUGUAUGGAAGCAAUAAGGUGCACGUGUGCAUCGAUGAGAGUACCAUACGAAUAAGCAUCGGCUAACUCCGUGCCAGCAGCCGCGGUAAUACGGAGGAUGCAAGCGUUAUCCGGAUUUAUUGGGUUUAAAGGGUGCGUAGGCGGAUUAAUAAGUCAGCGGUGAAACUCACAGGCUCAACCUGUGCCGUGCCGUUGAAACUGUUUAUCUCGAAUGCGGAUGCUGUGGGAGGAAUGUGUAGUGUAGCGGUGAAAUGCAUAGAUAUUACACAGAACACCGAUUGCGAAGGCAUCUCACAAAGCCGUGAUUGACGCUGAGGCACGAAAGUGUGGGGAUCAAACAGGAUUAGAUACCCGAGUAGUC
rnacentral:rRNA from 1 species